UCCAGUUUGCAGACCAUAUUU
rnacentral:piRNA from 1 species